ACAGGGAAAGAAAACAGGCCCCAGUAAUGAGGACCUAGAAGAAGAUGAGCCUUCUGAGAACAGUGCUGGAGGGAAGUAAAGCCUUCUCAGCAAUACAAUUGACCAAUCCUCUAUAUUUACAGGAAACUGAACAACGCAGAGAGAAGCAGAAACUGAGACCAGAGUAUACAACCCCAUCCCAGCACGACAGCUUAUGUCAAGAAGGGGUCUGCAGAGCCUACAGAGCAUAUGAGAUAAACUGGUGUUGGCAACUCUGUGGUCAUUAUCAGGGCCUAGUUCAGGCCAGGGCAAAGACAAUGAGCUAAGGGUCUUCACCGGCUCCUUACCAAAGGGGACCUGAAAAUGGGAUACAAACUUCACUGUAUUCCAUCCUACAGUAGUACCCCAUACUACAGCAUGCAGUAUCUAUAUUUAUGAUAAGCUAAAGUUUAUUAUUUAAUACAGUUCUCAGUCAAUGGCAUGUAUUUGGCUAUUGCAUCCAUGUGCUUGUUUUCUCAAAGAACCUGAAGUUAGAGGGUCCCUGUAAACACGGGUACAAAUGGGCAACUAGACUCGACAUAGCAAGUGCUUCAUACACACUGAUAGACAGACCACAAUAAGACUUCUGGAAAGAAGGUUAACAACAGCACUGACAGUGGUCAGUGGGGAACCAUUUUGAAUUAGGCCUCCAGAUGAGAAGCCGUGAAAAGAACUCUGAGAGACGCCACCUUGUUCUUGUGAACUGAAUGAGCAAAGCUCAGCGCAGCAAGGCUCUUGCAAUGGCAACCCAUCCUCUCCCUAAGAAACAGGAUUUACAUGCUAGAAAGCAAAGCGCGUGACUCAGCUCCGAGAGAAAAAUCCAUACGAAGAAAAAAUGCUCUCAAUCACAAAAAUGUUCUGGUUGGGUCUUACACACUGAUUAAGAGUCCCCACCAGCAAGAAGGCUCCCACAAGAUGCAGCCUCUCAACCUUGGACUUCUCAGUCUCAAGAACUAUAAGAAAUAAAUUCCUUUUCUUUAUAAAUUA